AUUGAACGCUGGCGGCAGGCCUAACACAUGCAAGUCGAGCGAGCGGCGGACGGUUGAGUAAUGUCUGGGAAACUGCCUGAUGGAGGGGGAUAACUACUGGAAACGGUAGCUAAUACCGCAUACCAUCAGAUGUGCCCAGAUGGGAUUAGCUGGUCGGUUGGGUAACGGCUCACCUAGGCGACGAUCCCUAGCUGGUCUGAGAGGAUGACCAGCCACACUGGAACUGAGACACGGUCCAGACUCCUACGGGGGGCAGCAUUGGGGAAUAUUGCCCAAUGGGCGCAAGCCUGAUGCAGCCAUGCGGCGUGUGUGAAGAAGGCCUUCGGGUUGUAAAGCACUUUCAGCGGGGAGGCGUUACCCGCAGAAGAAGCACCGGCUAACUCCGUGCCAGCAGCCGCGGUAAUAC
rnacentral:rRNA from 1 species